AUUGAACGCUGGCGGCAUGCCUUACACAUGCAAGUCGAACGGCAGCGGGCCCUUCGGGGUGCCGGCGAGUGGCGAACGGGUGAGUAAUGCAUCGGAACGUACCCGGGAGAGGGGGAUAACCGGCCGAAAGGCUGGCUAAUACCGCAUGAACUCGGAAGAGCAAAGCGGGGGACCUUCGGGCCUCGCGCUCUCGGAGCGGCCGAUGUCCGAUUAGGCUAGUUGGUGUGGUAAAGGCCCACCAAGGCGACGAUCGGUAGCGGGUCUGAGAGGACGAUCCGCCACACUGGGACUGAGACACGGCCCAGACUCCUACGGGAGGCAGCAGUGGGGAAUCUUGGACAAUGGGCGCAAGCCUGAUCCAGCAAUGCCGCGUGGGUGAAGAAGGCCUUCGGGUUGUAAAGCCCUUUCGGCGGGGAAGAAAUCGGUCAGGCGAAUAGUCUGGCCGGAUGACGGUACCCGCAGAAGAAGCACCGGCUAACUACGUG
rnacentral:rRNA from 1 species